GGUUCGCGUUCGGUUUGCGCGCUCGAACGUUCCUCCAGCCUGCGCGCGGGUCCCAGGAUCCGUUUCCGAAAAGCAAGCAAAGGCAGGGCAGAGCGAUCCCCCUGCGGCCCCUGCCAACAGAAGCCCACGGGCUGCAUCGCCCUGCGGCUUCGGCUUCAGCGUGCAGGCGGCGUUCGCCAUCGCUUCCGCGGAGAUCAACUGCAACAAGCGAGCCGCCGCGGUCCCUAUUCAUUCAAAUCGCGCGUCAAGCACCAGUUGCUCCGAAAUGGGCGAGAAGCACGAACGGCUCAGGAUAAGAACACAACAACAGGCACGCAAUCGGGAGCCCCGACGGGCACCUUGCGUCGCCUCAAGUUGAAUCCACAGUUCUGUAUAGAGGGGAAAGGAGUGAACUACACUGAACUGCUGCCAUUUCCCAGGACAUGCUUUUCUGUCUUCCGUGAAAUGGAGGAAAAUCCAUCUCAUACUGGAUGUCAUUGAGUUACAGUGCAAGGGAAUGGAAGUGCUCCAUCCUUGAUCUUCUUAGGUCACCGUUGGUCAUGCUAUCAUUUUCCAAUUCUGUCACUUUUUUCUCCAAAUAAGUCACCUACAGAAAAGGAAGAGGGUGUCAGCGGCUUCCCUACCAGUCUUGUGAAGGGGAAAAGAACUGCGAAACGAUCAAGCUGGACCUCCCCAGCUCAACAGUGCGAAACAGGCUUCCCCAGCCGGGUGACAGCCAAAUGUGUUGUACUACAAAUUCCAGCAUUCCUGUCCAACAAGGCCAAUGCUCAUGCUGGCUGAGGAUGAUGGAAAAUGGAGCCCUGACAUAAGGAGAACACAGGUUUGAGAAGGCUCAUAGGUUACUAAACCUACAUUAUUAAAUAGGAAUCUACACACAAACUCCACAGAGUAUUAUUUCAUCACCCACUUUGCCUGCAUUAAAGUUCUCCAACAGUCCCCAUAUAAAAUCAUACACAGACUGUACUGGAGCCAAGACAGCAUCACCCCCAUAAACUGGCAGACGCAUCAGCGUGUCUUCGGUUUAUCGGCACAUCCCUAGAGCCUUUCUUCUCAACGAUGCAAAGAGGACCUCUCACCUUUUCCGUGAUGUCGUUGUCACAUGAAUCUAUGCUGUCUCUGAACAAGUCCUCUGUGCUGCCAUUGC